rnacentral:rRNA from 1 species
AGAGUUUGAUCAUGGCUCAGAACGAACGCUGGCGGCGUGCCUAACACAUGCAAGUCGAACGAGAAAGUUGACUUCGGUCAAUGAGUAAAGUGGCGCACGGGUGAGUAACACGUGGAUAAUCUGCCUCUAAGCGAGGAAUAACAUUUCGAAAGGAGUGCUAAUACCUCAUAAUGUUAUUUUUUCCUCGGAAGAAAUAGCCAAAGGCGACCUCUGUCUCAAGUUGCCGUUUAGAGAUGAGUCCGCGGCCCAUUAGCUAGUUGGUAGGGUAAGAGCCUACCAAGGCAACGAUGGGUAGCUGGUCUGAGAGGAUGAUCAGCCACACUGGAACUGAGAUACGGUCCAGACUCCUACGGGAGGCAGCAGUGAGGAAUCUUGCGCAAUGGGGGAAACCCUGACGCAGCAACGCCGUGUGAGUGAUGAAGGUUUUCGGAUCGUAAAGCUCUGUUUGAAGGGACGAAACGUAUUUGACUAAUACUCAAAUAACUUGACGGUACCUUCAGAGGAAGCACCGGCUAACUCCGUGCCAGCAGCCGCGGUAAUACGGAGGGUGCAAGCGUUGUUCGGAAUUACUGGGCGUAAAGGGCGUGUAGGUGGCUAAGUAAGUCAGGUGUGAAAGCCUUCCGCUUAACGGGAGAAGUGCACUUGAAACUGUUUAGCUAGAGUACGAGAGAGGAAGGUGGAAUUCCUGGUGUAGAGGUGAAAUUCAUAGAUAUCGGGAAGAACACCGGUGGCGAAGCGGGCCUUCUGGCUCGAUACUGACGCUGAUACGCGAAAGCGUGGGGAGCAAAC